rfam:Homo sapiens chromosome 7, GRCh38 reference primary assembly.
ACCAGGUGCAGUGACUUGUGCCUGUAAUUCCAGCUACUCAGGAGGUCGAGGCAGGAGGAUCACUUGAGUCCAGGAGUUCAAGACCAGCCUGGGCAACAUAGUGAGACCCUGUCUCUA